rnacentral:rRNA from 1 species
UACAUGGGGUGCAAACGUUGCUCGGAAUUAUUGGGCGUAAAGCGCACGUAGGUGGUCCCUUAAGUCGAAUGUGAAAUCCCUCGGCUCAACCGAGGACGUGCAUCCGAAACUGAGGGGCUAGAGUAUGGUAGAGGGUCGCGGAAUUCCCGGUGUAGAGGUGAAAUUCGUAGAUAUCGGGAGGAACACCGGUGGCGAAGGCGGCGACCUGGGCCAAUACUGACACUGAGGUGCGAAAGCGUGGGGAGCAAACAGG